UCAUUUGUGAUAUUUUAACUAUUGUACAAGAUUUUUUGACAAAACUGGCUUCACCUGUCAGAAUGGUUGGCAUGAGCAUAUAAUGAUAUAUUAUAAAGAAGAUGUUGCUGAUAGGCUGUUUUUAAAAAAUCGGGGUGUCCUACAUACAUACAUACAUACAUACAAAGUUUACUUUUUGUCAAACUCGUUCCCAUUCAUGGAAUUUACUUCUCAACAAGGAAAGACAAACUUAUUUGGAAGAAGUCUAAGGGAACAUCAAUUACCUUCAGUUGCACUCUGAAUCGUAUUUGUGAAUAAAAUUAUUUGUCAAAGACUUAUUUAUAAUUAUAAGAAAACUUUAUUUUUAAAUUCAUACUUGUAGUAUUUAUAGUUAUUGUUAUUUAAAUUAUUUUGGAAUUCCUCACUGGUGAUCUGAUUGUUGUGUAUAGAGGCGGUUUCCAGAUUUUACUUCAGCUGCAGCAUGGCUAAUUUCUAGAGAAGUAAAAUACAUUUUAGUAAUUCACAGAAACAUUGGUACUAUUCUGAGCACAACUAGUAAAUUAUAUCUAAGAGAAUAUUGGGUAUCUCCAACGAUGAGGUUGAAGAAAAUGAACAAACAAAUAAAGGAUUUGGAGACAUAUAGUUGAUGAAUUUAAUUCACCCAGAAUAUCCUUAGAAACUUAAUAAUGUCUUAUUCACAUACACUUAUUUCAUUCAGUGGAUUAUACUUAUAUUUUCCAAACUGAAAUAUACGAUGCACCACAUACAAGGAACUAGGAAGUCGAUCAAAUAUCCUAACAAUUUUUCAGACACUGACUUUUAUGAAAAUAAUUCUACCUACUUAGAUGAAGCCAUACAAUAUUGGAGCGAAUUAUGAAACUUAAGGGCAAUACAAUUUUGCUGAGCAAGAACCCAAUUUAAAUAACACAGAUGAGGGCCUCAACAUAUCUAAAUUGCAAAGAAACACGUAACUAGUUUGGACUUCAGUAUCUUUUCUGAAAUAAAAGUAUAUAUAUAGUUGGAUGACAGAGUUUACACACAUAUUUUGCAUGUGUCUUGUUCUAAACAAUUGGAUCAAAAGCCACAUCCAGCUGUUGUCACACCUAUCAUUUGUGAUAUCGUAACUAUUGUACUAGAUUUUUUAUCAAACCUGGCAUCACCUGUCAGAAUGGUUGGCAUGAGCAUAUAAUGAUAUAUGAUAAAGAAGAUGUUGCUGAUAAAGAUGUGGCUUUUAAAGAAAUCGGGGUGUCCUACAUGCA